rnacentral:rRNA from 1 species
GAUGAACGCUGGCGGCGUGCCUAAUACAUGCAAGUCGAGCGAACAGACGAUGAGCUUGCUCCUCUGACGUUAGCGGCGGACGGGUGAGUAACACGUGGAUAACCUACCUAUAAGACGGGUAUAACUUCGGGAAACCGGCGCUAAUACCGGAUAAUAUAUUGAACCGCAUGGUUCAAUAGUGAAAUACGGUUUUUCUGUCUCUUCUAGAUGGAUCCGCGCCGCAUUAGAUAGUUGGUAAGGUAACGGCUUACCAAGGCAACGAUGCGUAGACGAACUGAGAGGGUGAUAGGCCACACUGGAAGUGAGACACGGUCCAGAGGCCUACGGGAGGCACCAGUAGGGAAUCUGCCGCAAUGGGCGAAAGCCUGACGGAGCAGCGCGGAGUGAGUGAUGAAGGUCUCCGGAUCGUAAAACUCGGUUAUUAGGGAAGAACAAAUGUGUACGUAAAUAUGCACGUCUUGACGGUAACUAAUCAGAAAGCAACGGCUAACUACGUG